GGCCGACAUCCAAUUCAUGAACGGCUGGGUGCAAGAUUUGUCCAUCUUUAUGCCUCCACGCUGCGAGUACGUUGUCGUUAAGACAAAGGUACUGCACUCACAACGACUGAAUGAAACUGCACUCCAACCACUGUGACCUCGUUUGUGUGGACACAGAGAGACCUUGCUGUGAUACGCAUCUUCCCUGAUGUGGAUUUCUGGGAACCACGUUUAAAGCAAGCACAAGAUUUCUUUCUUAAAGUGUGCCUUCCUGAACUUGUUGGGAAAUACUUCUCCAAACAAUGUGCUGCUCUAAAUAGCCUGUAAUGUUUCAUUUUGUGGUUCAAGAUUGAUGCCAGCUGUGUGUUGCCAUGUAAAUAGUUUGGAUUUCAUUUUUAUGUACUUGCUAAGUACAUGUGAACAGAUCAAGAAUAAAAAAA